rnacentral:rRNA from 1 species
UGGGGAAUAUUGCACAAUGGGCGCAAGCCUGAUGCAGCCAUGCCGCGUGUAUGAAGAAGGCCUUCGGGUUGUAAAGUACUUUCAGCGGGGAGGAAGGCGAUAAGGUUAAUAACCUUGUCGAUUGACGUUACCCGCAGAAGAAGCACCGGCUAACUCCGUGCCAGCAGCCGCGGUAAUACGGAGGGUGCAAGCGUUAAUCGGAAUUACUGGGCGUAAAGCGCACGCAGGCGGUCUGUCAAGUCGGAUGUGUAAUCCCCGGGCUCAACCUGGGAACUGCAUUCGAAACUGGCAGGCUAGAGUCUUGUAGAGGGGGGUAGAAUUCCAGGUGUAGCGGUGAAAUGCGUAGAGAUCUGGAGGAAUACCGGUGGCGAAGGCGGCCCCCUGGACAAGGACUGACGCUCAGGUGCGAAAGCGUGGGGAGCAAACA